GGGGAAUAACUCUCAUAUGGAGUAUCAGGAUAGCUUCGGUUAAAACUAAACUCCGAAUCCUGAAGAUGUAACGAGCAAUUUGGUAAAAUAAAUUUGUCGUAAUCUUUUACGGUUGCGAAGGAGUAGUGGCCACAAGAAAAACAGUGUUUGGGGAGAUAACUCUUACUGCGCGGUUGUCAGUUUUAAAGCGUAUAAACUAUACGAUAUCAUAUUCCAAAUAUCUAAGCGACAUCUUUUGAAACAACAAAAUUACGCAAGAAAAAAAAUUAGGCGGAAGAAAAAAAAAAAUAAUAAUCAGAACAAAAUCAAUAGGUCUUUCCACGGAAAGGUGGAAAGACCUAAUUAGAAAACAGAACCUACAAUGUACAUGUAUAGCUGCUAAUUUAAAAAAAAAAUAUAAUGGA
rnacentral:lncRNA from 1 species